rnacentral:rRNA from 1 species
UACGUAGGGGGCAAGCGUUGUCCGGAUUUAUUGGGCGUAAAGAGCGUGUAGGCGGCCUGGAAGGUCAGCUGUGAAAACUCGAGGCUCAACCUCGAGACGUCGGUUGAAACCACCUGGCUAGAGUCCGGAAGAGGAGAGUGGAAUUCCCGGUGUAGCGGUGAAAUGCGCAGAUAUCGGGAAGAACACCCGUGGCGAAGGCGGCUCUCUGGGACGGUACUGACGCUGAGACGCGGAAAGCGUGGGGAGCGAACAGG